CAGCAGUAGCCGCGGUAAUACAGAGGGUGCGAGCGUUAAUCGGAUUUACUGGGCGUAAAGCGUGCGUAGGCGGCUUUUUAAGUCGGAUGUGAAAUCCCUGAGCUUAACUUAGGAAUUGCAUUCGAUACUGGGAAGCUAGAGUAUGGGAGAGGAUGGUAGAAUUCCAGGUGUAGCGGUGAAAUGCGUAGAGAUCUGGAGGAAUACCGAUGGCGAAGGCAGCCAUCUGGCCUAAUACUGACGCUGAGGUACGAAAGCAUGGGGAGCAAACAGGAUUAGAUACCCCCGUAGUCCCUGUCUCUUAUAC
rnacentral:rRNA from 1 species